rnacentral:rRNA from 1 species
UACAGAGGGUGCGAGCGUUAAUCGGAAUUACUGGGCGUAAAGGGUGUGUAGGUGGCGCGCUAAGUCGGGUGUGAAAUUUCGGAGCUUAACUCCGAAACUGCAUUCGAUACUGGCGUGCUUGAGGACUGGAGAGGAGACUGGAAUUCAUGGUGUAGCAGUGAAAUGCGUAGAGAUCAUGAGGAAGACCAGUGGCGAAGGCGGGUCUCUGGACAGUUCCUGACACUGAGACACGAAGGCCAGGGGAGCAAACGGG